GUUAAGAGGAAUGUUGUCUGGCUCAAGGUCAUGAAGGAAGGAUCAUUCCAUUCAAUUUGGAAGAAACUAAUAAUUGAAUUGAAAACCCUAAAUGAUUCUCGGACCAGGCUUCAUUCCCCCUAAC
rnacentral:pre_miRNA from 1 species